UUUAGUAUUGCUCAGUUGGUAGAGCAUGAGACUCGUAAUUUCAGGGCCAUGGGUUCAAGCCUAUGUUGGGCAAAA